rnacentral:lncRNA from 1 species
CCAUUGCUAGUAUAGCUAUACAUUAGAUUACAAUUUUAAUGUCUUGUAAGAAUCACAGAUAACCUGUUUUAGGAAGCCAAAACAGAAGAAAAUGAUAAAUUAUCCAUACAAGCUCUCUGAUCUAAGUUAAAAACAAGCAAGAGGUGAGACUACAAAAUAGCAAAAAUGUAAUGUUUUAGUGCAUUAAAAAUGCUAUAAUUAUCUUCUUGUAAUUAUUAAUUUCAAUAUCUUAUUAUGCUGUCAAAUUAAAUUCCUCCUAAAGGAAGAAGGGUAAAUUUUUAAAAAUUCUGAAUAUAUAAUAGAGAAUUAAUGGGCAAGAUUUUAUAGGAAAAAAUAAAAGCUUUUAUGGAGUAAAUAAAAUAUGUUAUCUUUUGUCAAGAUUUAUGAACUUUCAUUAAUAUCAUAAUGCAUAUUUAAUCAUAAAGUGG